UACGUAGGGUGCGAGCGUUAAUCGGAAUUACUGGGCGUAAAGCGUGCGCAGGCGGUCUGUUAAGACAGAUGUGAAAAUCCCCGGGGCUUAACCUGGGAACUGCAUUUGUGACUGGCAGGCUAGAGUAUGGCAGAGGGGGGGUAGAAUUCCACGUGUAGCAGUGAAAUGCGUAGAGAUGUGGAGGAAUACCGAUGGCGAAGGCAGCCCCC
rnacentral:rRNA from 1 species